AUUAGUAGUUAAAGGCACCACCAGCACCCAUUCCCCCUUCUCGGUAGUCCCCUCUAGGAGUGAGUAGGAUGAUGGACCUAGCAGAAGCAAAUGAUUCCCAUGGGUCCCAGGCUACGGGCCUGGGCAGAUUUCACCCACAGGCCUGGAGAAGCAGAGCAUCAGGUCUUGAAAGCAAAAGACAAGAGGAAACCAGCCACCUUCCUGAACUAACUAAACCCCAGCCUUGACCAUGACUGAGACAAGCAAGACAUGAGCAUCACCUGGCCAGGAGGGUCCUCAGAGCGCAGAUUAAGAGCAGGAGGUCUGAGUUCAGCUCAUGGGGGUCAAACCCCAUAACUAGCUGGGGGAUGCCGGGCAAACUUCCUUCCUUGUUAAGUUUCAGUUCCCUCUUUUGUAUGAUAAGAUUUCGUGAUGCUUCUUCACAAGACUGUUUGGAAGAUUAAAUGAAACAAUUCAUGGAAACAGAAUGCCUGACACUGAGUGGGUCCUCAGUAUUGGCUUUAAAUACAACCUGAAAUAGAAGAAAAUAGGAGCAUAAACUGAGAGAACCCAAGAGGAAAGGCGUGGAUUCUCUGAUCAUUCAAGUGUGCAAGUGCCCCAUCUGAAUCAUUUUGCUGCUAAAAACACCCUCGUCUCACAGUCCUUCACCACCCAGUUGCACUAGACUGAGGGUUUGAGAUGGCAAGAGCAAUGCUGUGUGGGCCUCAGGAAGUCAAGCAUAUCCAGAACCGGCCACGUAGACCUGGUGUGGCUGUUUUACAUGGGCUCAGACAGACCUGCCAUUAGGAGCAUUCCAGACCAGAGCUCAGCUGCUCCGAAGAGCAAUAAUUAAAUCAGCAGACUGUGACGUCUGCUUUGGGUUCCUUUCACACCUGUCUGUCAGCGGGAUUACUGGCUAAAAGAAAGUCUUGGCUGGGCCCAGACUGGAAACAGCCUCGAGAGAGGCUCUCGGGAAGCUCCAGCACAUAUCUCUGGUGGCCUCUCUUCCCAGGGCUCACAGGCUGCCACCCUGUUCUGCUACCCACAACACCUUGGGCUCACACCCCCUGAGGACCCACUAUCCACAGCAAGGCUCAACCGCAGCUCCAGUGCCCCACUUCAUGCUGCAGUGCGAAAGUCCUAACUGGAGCCCUGGGUACAUCUGGAUCAAGUUAAUUACAAAACAAGACAUACAUGGGAAUAGCCAAGCAGUCCCACUGAAAGCACAGGCAAGAAGCCGUUCAUCCCAACAGUUGUGACUGCGCCCAGACUCCUAUGUUCCUGCUGGGAGUCUGAGCACAUCCUGUCGAACAUGUCUGCAAAAACAACCCUUGUUAUGCUAAUCUCAGCCCUGUUUAUGAUGGUAAAACUUCUUGGGAGCAAGCCAAAUGUCAAGAUUGGGGGAUUCAUUAAAUAAACCAUGGUGCUAUCCAUACAAUAGGAAACUACAUACCCACUAAAAAUAACAUCAAGGAAGAAUAUUAAUAGACAUAGAAGCUGAGUGGGUAUAUUGCUAAGAUUUAAAGGCAUCUCACAAACAGUGUUAACAGUUGUUCUGAGUGUUAGGAUUAUACAGGUGAUUAUCACAUUCUUCUGCUGAUUUGUCGGUACUUUGUGCAAUGAUUCUGCUGUGUGCUGUGCUUCGUUGUUCAAUCAUGUCCGACUCUUCGCAACCACAUGGACUGUGGCCAGGCUCCUCUGUCCAUGGGGAUGCUCCAGGCAAGAAUACUGGAGCAGGUUGCCAUGCUCUCCUCCAGGGGAUCUUCCCAACCCAGGGAC
ensembl:lncRNA